rnacentral:lncRNA from 1 species
CAACCAAAUAUUCUUCCGUCAAAUGCAGCCAUAGCGUCGUUUGUUUCACAUGCGUCAUUCCAAGGAUCGGGAGUUCCUCAGGUUCCGUACAUGACUGCUCGAAUUUUCCGACAUGAUUUCACCUACAGUUUUCCCGUGUCUCCGGGCUGGAAGUUCCUCCGGUUAUACUUUUACCCUACCCGUUACAGUUCCGACCUCGAAGCUGCCGUAAACUCCUACUUCUCUGUCACCGUCAACGGUUUUACUCUCUUGAAGAACUUCCGUGCCGAUUUAACGGCAAAGGCUUCUCAUGAUGCGUCCAUAUUUAAGGAGUUCAUAGUCCCUGUUUCGAGUGGAUACACGAUGCUAAAUCUCACGUUCUCACCUUCUUUAAACAUGUUAGCUUUCGUGAACGGCAUCGAGAUUGUCUCCAUGCCUGAUCGGUUUUACUCCAAGGGAGGCUUCGACGACAAAAUAAAACAGGUAGGUAAUAGCAUUGACUUCGAGAUAAACAACAGCACGGCUUUCGAAACUGUUCACCGGCUAAACAUCGGUGGACAACUGAUUGACGGCAUAAGUGAUACAGGGAUGUUCCGGCCGUGGCUUGCUGAAAAGUUUCAACUAAGUGAAAAGUCGGGAAUCGUGCCAGUCGUUCCGGGUGUAAAGAUCAACUACAUGGAGAAUACUCCAGCGUAUGUCGCGCCGGAAGAUGUGUACACGACGUACCGUACAAUGGGUAACGCCGAGCAUCCUAGGCUGAACCAGAACUUCAAUCUGACAUGGCUCUUCCCAGUUGAUGCCGGGUUUAACUACCUCGUCAGGCUUCAUUUCUGUGAGACUCUAUCGGAUGUGAACGGACCGGGCCAACGUGUCUUCACCAUCUUCAUUGGAAAUAAGAUUGCAAAGCUUGACAUGGAUGUCAUUCAGCUGAGCGGUGGUUCUCGCAUUCCGGUGUAUCUAGACUUCAGUGUGCUUGUUGGUUUUGAAAGUGGGCCGCGACCUGAUCUACGACUUGACUUGCAUCCUUACACGGACAGUGGCCCAAAGUAUUACGAUGCUAUUCUCAAUGGCGUAGAGAUCCUCAAGCUUAGUGUCUCUGGCGGAAAUCUUGCUGGACCUAAUCCUAAUCCUACGUCAGGUCUUACUCCAAACUCUGUAAAUCAAGAUAUACAAAAACCCAAAGCCAAGUCACACGUUUUGGUAAUAACACUUGGAACUGUUGGGUUUGCAAUUGUGUUAGCAAUGUUUAUUGUUGUUGUCAUCGUCAUGAAGAGGAGGAAGAAGAAAAAGAAGGUUAAUGUAGACACCAAGAGCAAGCCUACGGACUCGUGGACUACUCUUCCGCUUGUUGCCGGGUCCUCCCAUACCAGAUCGACCACAUCUCUUCCAUCCGAUCUCUGCCGUCGGUUCUCCAUCCUCGAGAUCAAAUCCGCCACAAACAAUUUCGAGAAAAAGCUGAUCGUUGGAGUAGGCGGGUUUGGUCCUGUCUACAAAGGAAGAAUCGACGGUGGAGCCACGCUUGUGGCUGUUAAACGGUUAGAUGUUUCAUCCAACCAAGGCGCUACCGAGUUCGAAGCAGAGCUCAAGAUGCUCUCGGUGCUCCGUCAUAUACAUCUCGUUUCCUUAAUCGGAUAUUGCGACGAUGUUCCUCUCUCUCUCUCUCUCUCUCUCUCUCUCUCUCUCUCUCUCUCUCUCUCUCUCACGAAACGUACAACUAGUUAAACUGGUACAACUAUUAGCAGUUGUACAACAAAUAAUUGCUUGGCUACAACAGCGACAAAAAUGCUAGCGACAACGACUACGAAGAAACCAUCUACGAAGAAAGAAGCGACGAAGAAAGCAACAGUGAGGGAAGCAGAAACGAGGGAAACGAAAACGAGGGAAGUGAUAAAUGAGUUUUGCUUAUGUGUUAUGAACAUUGCUUAUGUGUUGUGGAACUUAUUCAUGUGUUAGGGAUGCUAUUUAUGUGUUUUUAAACUUUGCAAUGGAGAAAAUUUGUAAUGUAUUGUUUCUGUCAGAUAUUACUGGUACAAUUGGUACUUCAUAUAAUACACAUUCAUGUUUAUGUGUUAUAACACUGGAAAAACUAGUACAACUAUACAAGUUGUAAAGUCUUUAGAAUGGUACAUCCUAACUAUUAGAAGUUUUAUCAAAAAAAAUCCGCAAUUAUAAACAAUCACAUAAGUUUCCAUUAUUUACCUUAUAAUUUAAAGGUUUGUUUACUUGUUUGUUCACUAUAUUUUUGAAAAAUAUACACUGGAUAUAUUUUAACAAAGUUAAUGAUUCCAUAGUAUGUGAUUCUAGGUAUUUAAAUAUAUACAAGUAGUACAACUGAUGUAUCUUUAUUUAAUAUUUGGUACAACUAGAUAUUUCAAAUUCUGGACCAAAAUACAACUAUGUACAAACUUGUACAACCCAAAACUCGGUACAACUAUGUAUACGAUUGUACAACUAAAAUAUUGGUACAACUACAUGUUAAUAAAUUUGGCACAUUUUAAUUGUUUACCACAUUUAAAUGCUCACUACGUUUUAAACAUGAUAGUUUUACCUUCUUUCGUUUAGUUGUACAAAUUGUACCCGUCAGAGUAAUUUUGUCAUAGUUAAUCUGGUUAAUUUAAUUAUACCAAAAACCUGUCAAGUUUAAACCUUUUGAAUUAACCCUAAAAACUUUUAAAUGUGCACUUUAACCUAUAUGGUAUUAUGCAUAUGCAAUAGAAACAUUUAGAUUCAUCUUAAAUAGUUUAAAUGUCUAAAAAAUGUUAAAAUGUAUUAAAUUCAUGAGAUAUAAAUAUUUCAUGUUUUAAACAUGAUUUUGUAUCAUUCAUUUAUUUUCUGGUAAAACCAUUCAUUUACUGGUAAAACUGGCAUAACAUUACAUUGUAUCCAAAAUUGUAUUUCUAGUAUAACUGUCAUUUCAAAAUUGAGAAAAUAGUGUGGGUUAUUGGUUAUACUAUUUUGAUAGAUUUACAAUUUUUUUAGAUUUAGAAAUCUUUGAUAAAUCCAUGAUUUUUAAAUCAAACAAGUGGAUUUUAAGAAUAAUUUAUGUAUUGCAAAAUCUAAAUAGAUUACUACCCAAUGUUAAAACAACAUAACUCAAGUUCUAGCACAAUUAAACUAGUAAUACUACUAUUGUAUCUAAACUAGUUGUACCACUUAUAUUAUUAUUGUCGUAGUCCAAACACCAAACAUGAAUGUUUAUGCAUCAUUUUCGAACUCAAAAAUGAUUUUUACAUAUUCCUUUGCACUUUGUUCUACUAAAUCUUCAUCUACUGUAAUUUUUUUCUAGCUUGCCAUCCACCGUCUUCGGCUUCGGAAGCAAAAAGAUGAAGAUGCAUAUUUUUUUGAAAAUAGUACAACUAGUAUAACUAGUACAACUUGCAAAUAAAUCAUUAUUAAAAUCAAAUAUUAUUGAAAAUUUACUAUUCAUGUAUUUUGACACAUGCAAGCGGGGAAGGUUAGAUCAACAUGUCUCAUUGGUUUCACAUCAUCCACUUUUCUAGCAUCACUCAUAUGCUGAAAUAAAAACGAAAUAUUGUCAUACUAAUUACAAAGUUAUACUAGUUAUACGCGUUUUAGUUGUACCAGUUAUACUUAAUGUAUUAGUACUAGUUAUAUUUGUUUUAGUUGUACUAGUUAUACUAGUGCGCGUUGUACUAGUUGUAUUAGUUAGAGUCAUACUAGUUGUACUGUACGCUGGGUUUUUUUUUGUCAUGAAUUUCGUGAGAAAAAAAUAAAAUUCAAUUUUUGAUAAGACAUAAUUGGUUACAUACAACUAUGGGUUGACCAAUUUUGGAUAAGAAAAAGAAAGUUAGUGAAUAUUUGAAGGAAAUUUUUGAUUUUUUAAAGGUGAAAGAAACAUCCAUGGAAAAAUAAAAAAAAGGAAGAAGAAAAAGAUGUUAUGUUGAUAACGAUGUGUGUCCCAGAAUUUGAUCCCAUAGAAUCGUAGAAACCGUGUUAUGUUGCAUCAUUUUAAAGUGGAAUGACACACGAACAAGUUGGACGUAUAACGACAAGGUGCUAAAUUAAAAGACAUGGAAGAAGUUUCGUCGGAAACUUCUUCUUUUGCUUGAGCUGAAAAGUCAGUUAAGGGUUGACCCGUUGACUUACUCACCACCACCCAUGGUUUUGCUUCAGUUUCUUAUCUUCUUCUUUACCAUUCACAAUAUCAUUCAACAACUCUCACUCUAUCAGUUCCUAUGACUUUUCAAGUUUUCUUAAUCUUCUCCAUUCUCGUUUCUACAGCCAUAGCAGGAGACGGUGCAACCGCUGCGUACGUUCCCACUGAUAUCUUUCUCUUCAACUGUGGCGAAACAUCCAACCAGAUGGACAUAAGUGGCCGUAACUGGAUGGCAGAGCAACCAAAUAUUCUUCCGUCAAAUGCAGCCAUAGCGUCGUUUGUUUCACAUGCGUCAUUCCAAGGAUCGGGAGUUCCUCAGGUUCCGUACAUGACUGCUCGAAUUUUCCGACAUGAUUUCACCUACAGUUUUCCCGUGUCUCCGGGCUGGAAGUUCCUCCGGUUAUACUUUUACCCUACCCGUUACAGUUCCGACCUCGAAGCUGCCGUAAACUCCUACUUCUCUGUCACCGUCAACGGUUUUACUCUCUUGAAGAACUUCCGUGCCGAUUUAACGGCAAAGGCUUCUCAUGAUGCGUCCAUAUUUAAGGAGUUCAUAGUCCCUGUUUCGAGUGGAUACACGAUGCUAAAUCUCACGUUCUCAC